rnacentral:rRNA from 1 species
GCGAUGGUCGGGCACGUGGCCGUGGUAAGACGGACCGGGCAAACGUUGUUCGGAAUCAUUGGGCUUAAAGGGCGCGUAGGCGGGCGGUCAAGGCUGUGGUGAAAUCCGUCGGCUCAACCGGAGAAUAGCUGGGGAUACUGGCCGUCUCGAGGGGGGUAGGGGCAUGUGGAACUUCCGGUGGAGCGGUGAAAUGCGUAGAUAUCGGAAGGAACGCCGGUGGCGAAAGCGACGUGCUGGACCCUUUCUGACGCUGAGGCGCGAAAGCCAGGGGAGCAAACGGGAUUAGAUACCCUUGUAGUC